CAGUAGCCGCGGUAAUACGUAGGUGGCAAGCGUUGUCCGGAAUUAUUGGGCGUAAAGGGCUCGCAGGCGGUUUCUUAAGUCUGAUGUGAAAGCCCCCGGCUCAACCGGGGAGGGUCAUUGGAAACUGGGAAACUUGAGUGCAGGAGAGGAGAGCGGAAUUCCACGUGUAGCGGUGAAAUGCGUAGAGAUGUGGAGGAACACCAGUGGCGAAGGCGACUCUCUGAUCUGUAACUGACGCUGAGGAGCGAAAGCGUGGGGAGCGAACAGGAUUAGAUACCCCUGUAGUCCCUGUCUCUUAUAC
rnacentral:rRNA from 1 species